GAGACCUGUGGCGAGCGGCCGCCUCCAGUCUGCGAGCUUCCCUUCCUCCGAAGGGACGCGAGUGAAAUCACACCCAGCGCGGGGACAGCGGGGCCGGGGGACGGGGGAAUCCCAGGUAUUUCACCGACAACUGCGGAAUGUUUUGCGUCUCAAGUUUCAGAUUUCGCGGAAAGGGACCAAAUGUCAAGGCAUAUCAAAUAUUCCCUUCCCUUUUCAUUAAAAGAGAGUGCAUUUAAAAGGAGGACAGCCCUUUAAUGACUGCGAGAAUGAAAACUUCUGAAGACAAAACCAAAACUGGCUCUGGUAAACUGUGCACUCAGCUCUAAGAAGCUCUGUGGAAAGUGAGGUUGGCUGGGGCAUAGCUGACCCUGCCUGGGCACCCGUAUAGAGCAUCACAACCAGUUUCCCUUUCCAUCAAACUCCCAUUCUCUCAAACCUGCUGAUCUCCGGGAAGUACACACAGACAAACCAACUAAUCAAGCCUGAAGUGUGAUAACUGCUUUCUCCUGUCUGGGGUUUUGCAUUUUAAGCCUGUGAACCCAUAUUCAUCUACAAUUAGUGAAAUCCCAUGGAAUUUAAAAGGGGUUAUGGUAACAGGGUGGGGACAUCCAGGGGCGACAGACUUUUCAUUCCUUUGACUUUCAACUCAUAGGUGAAGCUUCUCCCCCUUUGGUGAGGGCCGGUCUCUAGAGACACUGCAUUUAUUUGCCAAGAAAAGUCAUUUCUGGCUGCCAUCUAGAGCUUGACACCAAAAACGCAGUUUUGUUUAUGGAGCACGAAAGGAGCUUGCACAGUCCUGCUGAUUGGCAUAAAUCCACAAGGAAAUAGAGUUUUUCAUUCACAUGUACACACACACACAAACACAAAAAGCAGCACUUCUUCCUCAUUCACAGGCAAACACAGUUUCAGUUGCCUUGCAUACUUUUUUCAUCUUUCUGGUCUUAGAACAUAGAGAAAAUAUAGGUGUGACUGGUGAUUAAAUAGUGAAUUGUUAAUUGACAAGUGAAGAUGUUACAAACUUCAAAUUCCUUAGCCUUUGAUUAACUUACUUUCUGGAGAUCCCAGAGAGUCUUAGGAAGAAGGAGUAUUUUGUGUAAAUGUUAUUAUUUUCCCUAAAUAUGUGAAGUUGCCGUGAUUCUGCCUAGGGCAGUGUUCAUAAAUUGUUGCAAUGUAUGAUUUUUGUUAAUUGCUUUGCAUAAACUUACAUAUAAUUUAUUGGC
rnacentral:lncRNA from 1 species